rnacentral:rRNA from 1 species
UACGUAGGGUGCAAGCGUUGUCCGGAAUACUGGGCGUAAAGCGUGUGUAGGCGGUCUCAUAAGUCGGAUGUGAAAGCCCCGGGCUCAACCCGGGAAGUGCAUUCGAAACUGCGAGGCUAGAGUAUCGGAGAGGUUGGUGGAAUUCUCGGUGUAGAGGUGAAAUUCGUAGAUAUCGAGAGGAACACCGGUGGCGAAGGCGGCCAACUGGACGAAUACUGACGCUGAGACACGAAAGCGUGGGGAGCAAACAGG